rnacentral:lncRNA from 1 species
AUUUGCCACAAUGCCCAACUAGUUUAAUAAGGCUGGGUCCCCAAUGAGUGGCUGAGGAUUGACUGUUCAUUAACUUCACAUGCUUGUUCUAUAAGUCCACAUCACUUUAAUACCAGAACCCUGCAAAAAGAACGCCUCAAACCUCAUGUUUUUGGCUCUUCAGUUUGAGAGGGCUGUUUCCUUUCACACUUUUCCUUCAUGAUCAUUUACUAACAAAUAUGCUCAUGGCUUAGUAUGUUAACAGAAGAGAUGGCUAAUGAAAUCU